GAGCUGUGAACCUCACACCUCAUGAAGAACUCCAGGUCCGCGCUGCUGUUCUUCCACUUCCUGCCUGGACGACUCUCAAUGUGGAGAAGUUUGGCCUCAAACGUCUGCCGAUGAAAAACACAAACAGACAAAGAAGCCAGCGUUCUUCGUGCUGCUCAGCGUGAACAGGACGUUGAGCGUCACCAUGCCGUGCUUCUCCUCAAACACAAAGCCGUCUCCGUUCUUGGAGGGCCCCGGGGAGCCCACCGAGGGGCCUCCACCCCCGGCGUUGCUGCUGCGCUCUCGGCGAGCAUCUUCGAUCAGACUCUGCUUCCUCCCGGAGAACGGAACCACAGGGACUGAGUUCUCUGUCUUCAUCCUGACUGGAACCCCGGAACCUGAGAGAGGAGGCCGAGGUCUGCGUCAUCGUACUCCUUCCGCAUCUGUGACCAAAAAUAAUGUAGGUCUUCUCCCUGACUGCACGGACAGAUGUCUCUUACAUCAUCAGUCCAGUUUGAAUCCAUCAUCUUCGU